rnacentral:rRNA from 1 species
GAUGAACGCUGGCGGCGUGCCUAAUACAUGCAAGUCGAGCGAACAGACGAGGAGCUUGCUCCUCUGACGUUAGCGGCGGACGGGUGAGUAACACGUGGAUAACCUACCUAUAAGACUGGGAUAACUUCGGGAAACCGGAGCUAAUACCGGAUAAUAUAUUGAACCGCAUGGUUCAAUAGUGAAAGACGGUUCUGCUGUCACUUAUAGAUGGAUCCGCGCCGCAUUAGCUAGUUGGUAAGGUAACAGCUUACCAAGGCAACGAUGCGUAGCCGACCUGAGAGGGUGAUCGGCCACACUGGAACUGAGACACGGUCCAGACUCCUACGGGAGGCAGCAGUAGGGAAUCUUCCGCAAUGGGCGAAAGCCUGACGGAGCAACGACGCGUGAGUGAUGAAGGUCUUCGGAUCGUAAAACUCUGUUAUUAGGGAAGAACAAAUGUGUAAGUAACUAUGCACGUCUUGACGGUACCUAAUCAGAAAGCCACGGCUAACUACGUG